UACGUAGGGGGCUAGCGUUGUCCGGAAUCAUUGGGCGUAAAGAGCGUGUAGGCGGUCCUUUAAGUCUGAUGUGAAAGCCCACGGCUCAACCGUGGAGGGUCAUUGGAAACUGGGGGACUUGAGUGCAGAAGAGGAAAGCGGAAUUCCACGUGUAGCGGUGAAAUGCGUAGAGAUGUGGAGGAACACCAGUGGCGAAGGCGGCUUUCUGGUCUGUAACUGACGCUGAGGCGCGAAAGCGUGGGGAGCAAACAGG
rnacentral:rRNA from 1 species